AGAGUUUGAUCCUGGCUCAGAACGAACGUUGGCGGCGUGCUUAACACAUGCAAGUCGAACGAGAACGCUCCUUCGGGAGUUAUUAAAGUGGCGCACGGGUGAGGAACGCGUAGGUAAUCUACCCUCCGGCGGGGGACAACAUUCCGAAAGGAAUGCUAAUACCGCAUGAGACCACGCUUACUACGGUGAGAGUGGUAAAAGGCGCCCCAAAGCGCCACCAGAGGAUGAGCCUGCGUCCCAUCAGCUUGUUGGUAAGGUAAUGGCUUACCAAGGCGAAGACGGGUAGCUGGUCUGAGAGGAUGAUCAGCCACACUGGCACUGGAACACGGGCCAGACUCCUACGGGAGGCAGCAGUGAGGAAUAUUGGGCAAUGGGCGAAAGCCUGACCCAGCCACGCCGCGUGUGUGAUGAAGGCCUUCGGGUCGUAAAGCACUGUGGGGAGAGACGAAACAGCGCAUCAGGAAAUGGUUGCGCCUUGACGGUACCUCCUUAGCAAGCACCGGCUAACUCUGUGCCAGCAGCCGCGGUAAGACAGAGGGUGCAAACGUUGCUCGGAAUUACUGGGCGUAAAGCGCGUGUAGGCGGGCUCGCAAGUCAGUUGUGAAAUCCCUGGGCUCAACCCAGGAACUGCAUCUGAAACUGCGAGUCUUGAGUAGUGGAGAGGGAAGCGGAAUUCCAGGUGUAGAGGUGAAAUUCGUAGAUAUCGGGAGGAAUACCGGCGGCGAAGGCGACUUUCUGGCUGAAUACUGACGCUGAGGCGCGAGCGUGGGGAGCAAACAGGAUUAGAUACCCUGGUAGUCCACGCCGUAAACGAUGUCAACUAGCCGUUGGGAGACUUGAUUUCUUAGUGGCGCAGCUAACGCACUAAGUUGACCGCCUGGGGAGUACGGCCGCAAGGUUAAAACUCAAAUGAAUUGACGGGGGCCCGCACAAGCGGUGGAGCAUGUGGUUUAAUUCGAUGCAACGCGAAGAACCUUACCAGGUCUUGACAUCCUGCGAAUUUUCUAGAGAUAGAUUAGUGCCUUCGGGAACGCAGUGACAGGUGCUGCAUGGCUGUCGUCAGCUCGUGUCGUGAGAUGUUGGGUUAAGUCCCGUAACGAGCGCAACCCUUGUCCUUAGUUGCCAGCACGUAAUGGUGGGAACUCUAAGGAGACUGCCGGUGACAAACCGGAGGAAGGUGGGGACGACGUCAAGUCAUCAUGGCCCUUACGACCUGGGCUACACACGUGCUACAAUGGCCGGUACAGAGGGCUGCAACCCCGCGAGGGUGAGCUAAUCCCACAAAACCGGUCGUAGUCCGGAUUGGAGUCUGCAACUCGACUCCAUGAAGUCGGAAUCGCUAGUAAUCGUGAAUCAGAAUGUCACGGUGAAUACGUUCCCGGGCCUUGUACACACCGCCCGUCACACCAUGGGAGUGGGUUGCAAAAGAAGUGGGUAGACUAACCUUCGGGAGGUCGCUCACCACUUUGUGAUUCAUGACUGGGGUGAAGUCGUAACAAGGUAGCC
rnacentral:rRNA from 1 species